rnacentral:misc_RNA from 1 species
GCAAACUUGGUCAUUUAGAGGAAGUAAAAGUCGUAACAAGGUUUCCGUAGGUGAACCUGCGGAAGGAUCAUUAUUGAAUAAAACUUGGUUUUUUUGGGUUGUUGCUGGUUCAUUUGAACAAGUGCACACUCAUAAUACCAUUUUUUAAAACUCCCACCUGUGCAUCUUGUGUAGACUUGGACAAAAACAUCUCAUUAGAGUAAAUACGUACAUGUGUAUCUCUAUGGAUCUAGAAUUGCUGCACAAACAAACAAGCUUGCUUUUCUUGUGUUUUCCGGUCUAUGUUUUUUUUUCCAACACGCUGAAUGUGAUUUGAAUGUUAUAUAAAUAAGAGGACACUAGUUGUGUCUUUUAUAUUAUAAACAAAAAUACAACUUUCAACAACGGAUCUCUUGGCUCUUGCAUCGAUGAAGAACGCAGC